rnacentral:rRNA from 1 species
AGUGAACGCUGGCGGUAGGCCUAACACAUGCAAGUCGAACGGCAGCACAGUAAGAGCUUGCUCUUACGGGUGGCGAGUGGCGGACGGGUGAGGAAUAAAUCGGAAUCUACUUUUUCGUGGGGGAUAACGUAGGGAAACUUACGCUAAUACCGCAUACGACCUACGGGUGAAAGCAGGGGAUCUUCGGACCUUGCGCGAUUGAAUGAGCCGAUGUCGGAUUAGCUAGUUGGCGGGGUAAAGGCCCACCAAGGCGACGAUCCGUAGCUGGUCUGAGAGGAUGAUCAGCCACACGGGACCUGAGACCCGUCCCGACUCCUACGGGAGGCAGCAGUGGGGAAUAUUGGACAAUGGGCGCAAGCCUGAUCCAGCCAUACCGCGUGGGUGAAGAAGGCCUUCGGGUUGUAAAGCCCUUUUGUUGGGAAAGAAAAGCAGCAGGUUAAUACCCCGCUGUUCUGACGGUACCCAAAGAAUAAGCACCGGCUAACUUCGUG